UUGUAUGUGUGAAUAUUUCCCUUUACUCCAAAUAUUGUUUAAAGUUUUAAUUUUUGGAUAAUGCUGUUUUUAAAGAGAAGAAAAGGAACUAACGGUUCUUUCUGGGCAGCUUCUAAAUAAUUUCUUGUAACUUGUGUGGAGUUGUCUGUACUAAUAAAUGGUUCAUAGAGGUUGAAGUUUGUCUUUUAACCUGGAUUUAUAAUGACUUCUUCUGUAGGAAUAAACCAUUUGUAUUACUGUUCUUGCUGUGACUUUAUAUACAUUUAGUGAAACACUAGCAUAUCCAAGCAUUAAUAUCUUAAAAAGGAUAAACUUUUUACAAAUUCCAAAUCCAGAAGAACUCUUAUUUAAGUUCAUUGACCUAUGAGGAGCUAUCCGUGAUCAUUUUUAUUGCUUAUUGUGCUAAUGUUGUGUUCUUGUUAUCAAGAACUUUGAACACACUUUUUUAAGACAUGCCUAAUUGGUGUGAUAGAUAUGCAAGUUAUAGGUUUUGCCCAGGAACCGUCUUGAUCUUAACUAUCAAUCAACUACUUUUCAAAAUCAGUUAUAAGAAUCUUUUGUAUCCAUUCUGGUCUAUUUGAGUCCAUUUAUUUCCAUACUAGAUAAUUGUCGUUUAAGUCAAAACAGAGAAUUUCUAAAAUAAGAUUCUUUAAUAUAACCUUGUCCUAACACUGGUGCACAAUGCUCUAGCCAGACUACAAAGGCUUUUGGAAAAUCGCUGGACCUCAGGUUAAUACGAAUAGCUAAACUUUAGUUCUAACUAGGUGAUAUCGCCUAUAUGGAUCCGCUGUUUCUAGUUCGUUCUAUUCUUAGCUAAAUCCUUAGAUUAUAAGUCUUUUAAGACAAUUUCUUUCCAUAUGAUUUUAGAUGUACUUCAUCUUCUUUCAGCAAUUUCAAUCAUUAUUGUGUUGCACCUACUCACCAAUGCAUUUGCAUGUCUAUGCGGGACAUGGGAAAAACCAUCUCACUCAAUCAUUUAUCCUUUAUUUGUGCUACUUGCACUCUAUGUCGGAUUUGAUCAAUCAUACACUUGUCUAACAUUAUAUGACUGCAUUUCUAUCUCAAUAGCAGUAUUUUUACGACACUCUUCUUGUGGAUAUGUUGGGUCUUAGAGGUCCAGUAUUCACUCUCGUAUAACAUUGUUGGUCUCUCAAUCCUUCUGUAUGCUUGCAUUUCAGUUUGUUAGGUAUCUUAUAUCCGUCUAUUCUCAUAAUACACUCAUAAUAUCAUAUAUCAAUCAUCAAAUUUCAGUUCUAUGUGUUGUGUCUCCGUCAAUCAUGUCAUUCUCUUAGAAGACACAAAACCACAAUGACUUCUAAUUUCACUUCAUUCUUUUUAUGGAGUCUAACUUACGCCGCAUUUGUUCUUACUUCUACUUAUUCUAAAACUUUUAAUCUCAUUAGUGCUUCCCUAUAGUUUAACUUUUGAUUAACUCUCCUGUUAGUUUCGUCAAGUAACACAAUAUCGAUCUACAAGUAGCAUAAGAUAAAACCUCAUCCUCACCAUUAUUAGUUAACCAUCUGUGUAAUCCCGCAGUUGCAAAGUGACCCCUCUACAAUGAUUCCUCGGUGCUUAUAGGAAAACUCAGAAAUUAGUUUAUCCAUGAUUGAAGUUUUGAGGCUUCCAAUGUUUGCACGGAUAGUUGCAGCCAUUGGGAUGUCAAACCUACUAACAGAAUAGGGUGGAAACAGUGGCCAUUUUGUAUCCUUGUAAUGCAUAUUGUUUCGUUCUCUAGGUUCUGUUCAUUUUCUUCAAUCCAAAAGGUGUUGAUUUUGUGCUGUGGCUUGAAACUGAUGUGUCCCUGAACAUUCUAAUGCGUUUGGAUGAUCCAGCUGAUGUGGUCUGUGCUGGUGCUGUUUCACGCCUCUGGCGCAAAUUUGUGGCUACUAAUGGAAUUUCCAAGCAUCUGUGUCUGAGAAAGUUCCGCAGCUUUCUAGAAUUGCACGUAUAGCAGAACCAGAUUUGAGGGUAGCAGAAGGAAAAGAUGUUGAGUCUAGCAAUUCCAGUUGGGAGACUCUAAAAAGAGACCAUAAUGUUUAUGCUUCUCUACUUCAAGCUAUUGAAACAUCAAAUUCAUGUCCAAGUAAUUGCAUAGGUAAUGCAGUUAGCGCUAAGUACGGACCAUUAUCCAGAUCAAAGUAUUGUGCAUACUCUAGUUCCAAGAGACAGAUAUCAAGAUUUACCUUCAUACUGGUCAAGUAUAGGACACAGUGAUCCCAAUGCUUCCGAGAUGCUAGUUUACAAAUUGAAAGCUGAUCUUUGUGUCAUCACUGAAAUAAAGAUACAACCUUUUAAAGGUGAUUUGUUCAUUCUCUCUUAUCAUCACCUUGGGCACUAAAUUCCCUCUCGACUAUUCCCAAUCAGACUUCCAAACUUUUUUUUGUUGCUCUUUUGCUAAGAUACAAACAUUUCCAAAUCAGUUUAUUUCCAUCAAGGAAAGCCCAUAUACUCCGCAAAAUCUGUUCGGUUUCGAUUAGGACACCCCAAAUCCUCAAGAGAUAAGAGUGAUCUUCUGCACUUGCCCGAGCGACAGCCUGCUGAUGACAAGUUUAUAUGGACGUAUA